rnacentral:tRNA from 1 species
GGUAAAAUGACUGAUUAAGGUGAUAAAUUGUAAAUUUAUUUAUGAUGUAAAUCUUUUACUA